UUAUCGAUAUUAUUUGAUGGUCUCGCUCUUAAUAUACGCAAAACGAUUACUAAUUAAAUUAAAUAAAAAACUUUAUUUUUCAGUGCACGAUGUUAUAACAUCAUCAUAGGGAUUUCUUCUUGAAAAAGUACGAAAUCGAAUGACAAAAUAAAAUCUAAAUAUUACAGCUAAUUAAUAGGUACUUUAUUAGGAAAACCUCACUAACAACUACAAUUACAGUUGCAAUUCACAUUUAAUUUCUAUUCUAAACCACAUAUAAACAAUAGACGAGAUUCAAACAAACUCUUUGUAUCAAAAAAAAAAGUAAAAAAAGUGACAUUUGAACUUCAAAUUUGUUAAAAUCUUAAUAAUGUGGUAAACAAUCCAUCCAUAUGUAAUGAACAAACAUGAAUUUAUCUUCCUCGUAACUCUGUCAGCUGUAAUAUCGUUCAUAGCAACCGUCAGCAAAAACGCCAGACCUCCAAAAUGAUAGUGAAAAGUCCUUAAAUACACUCUUCAUACCCUAAAUAGACCUAUAUCGAACCAAUGACGCCAAAUUUAAAGUAGCCACCACCAAACACAAUGUACAACGGUAUCAAACCGACCCGCCUAUGGCAUCUCACACCGAGGAAAUACUUCGAUAGAAUGAUCCAAGACAAAAUAGAAGUACGAAAUGGAUUUACGCAGAGAUCGAAAUCGGAGCAAACGAAACUGGUCGCUUUGUUAUUAUCGGGAACAUUAGGUGUGGCGUAUUCGUACGGAAUGUUUAGCCCCGAGAAGACGCUGACCACGAUAGUGAGACCUCCGGGUGCCUGUGACCCGCCGAAAAUGCAAUGUCCUAAUACGCCAGCUCCGGCUCCUGAUAAGGAUUGUCCACUGAGACCAUGCGAUAAAUGAAGUGUAAUUAGAGAAUUGUUCAAAAUUAAAGGCAUUAACAAAAUUAGUAAGCAAAACUAA